rnacentral:rRNA from 1 species
UUUUGGACAAUGGGCGAAAGCCUGAUCCAGCAAUGCCGCGUGAGUGAAGAAGGCCUUCGGGUUGUAAAGCUCUUUUGUCAGGGAAGAAACGGUAGAGGCUAAUAUCCUUUGCUAAUGACGGUACCUGAAGAAUAAGCACCGGCUAACGACGUGCCAGCAGCCGCGGUAAUACGUAGGGUGCAAGCGUUAAUCGGAAUUACUGGGCGUAAAGCGUGCGCAGGCGGUUGUGCAAGACAGAUGUGAAAUCCCCGGGCUCAACCUGGGAAUUGCAUUUGUGACUGCACGGCUAGAGUGUGUCAGAGGGGGGUAGAAUUCCACGUGUAGCAGUGAAAUGCGUAGAGAUGUGGAGGAAUACCGAUGGCGAAGGCAGCCCCCUGGGAUAACACUGACGCUCAUGCACGAAAGCGUGGGGAGCAAACA